rnacentral:lncRNA from 1 species
CAAGAGACAGUGGCCCAUCGAAUCCAUUCAUCCCAGCCUUUUGUCAUUCUUGGAAUGUCGCAUCUGUCACAAACAUCCCACUAGAUCGCUUUAGUAUAGGAGCAUUCAAAGAACAAGUGGUUGUGAUCCUCAUUGUUGCGGAGACAGAGUGAGCAUCUAUUGGGACCAUGUAUACCAAACCGAUGAAGUUUAUCUUGAGUUGUGAGUUU